CCAAUCAAAGUAACGUGGGAUGGCUGGGGCUGUCGCUGUAGCCCGCGCGCUGGGUGGUGGCGGGAGAGGAGGUUUGGAGGGGGAGAGGGACGCGGUCAGCCUCCGCGCUCCCCCGCUCCGUGCCACUCCCGGCUGCUAUAUCACUCGCACCAGGAGGAAUGCGGACUAAUUAGGGGCCAGUGUCUCCUUAAAGAGACGAGCUCGGCCUUGUGUAACGUGCAGGGCCCCCCCGGUGAGACACGAGCGGCAGGAUCGCGCUGAGCCCACUUCUUUCAGCUCACAUCAAUUUUACGCGCCACUGGAGCUGGCGUAAUUUUCAUGUGAACGGGACUGACUCGCUGCCCUGUUUGGAGCGAGAGAGGUGAGCGCUCGGGGAGCGGGGACAGCGAGGCGAUCUGUUAAUGUCAGGGCUGCAGGGGGUGUUUCCCCUUCCGAGGGGUCGAGCAAGAUUCCCUCCCCCGAAGGACUCGCGUCUAAGUGGUUCGAAUAGGCAGCCCCCGCUAUCGUGAAGGCUGGUUUGAAAUGAUGCCUCUGGCAAAUAGACUGCGGGGGGGGGGGGGACUUUCCCCUGCCUCGGCCAUCGGAGAGACGCAAUUUGAAAACUAUUCGGGUUGUCUUACGUUUCUUUGUCCAGAGGAAAUAGGAGAGAGUUGAGAGCAGAUUUGUUUGGCUUUAGCUGCUACAGUCCACGCCGCUAGGAGGGACACUGACCCUGCGGUUAUUACUCAUGCAGUGGAAAAACUGGCAGAGACCUCCAAGUCCACUAUCACCCUGUGCAAAAAGAAGCGUCUCCCAUCGGCUAUAGAGUUCGACAGUACUUCACAGCUGGAUUCUGGUUACAUCUGUGCCUCUUUGUUGCUACUCUGUCCGGCGCAAUGACCUAACGCUUUUCAGCGCAUGGGGUGGAGACUGAAGUCGGCACUAGCUUCACGCAACACAACAUUGCAGCAGAGAGGAUAAUGGGAGGGAGGCAGGAACUGCAUAGGUUGAUACCAUGUGUGCGGUGAGAGGUUUCAGAGAAGCAGCCGUGUUAGUCUGUAUUUGCAAAAAGAAAAGG